CAUCGUGCUCCUUGCCGCUGCUGUCGAACAGACCCGUUCGAGAGGAGAGUGUGCCGUGAGCCAGGGACGACGCGAGGAAGAAGAGGAGUCGUCGCACCCAGCCGCUGUGUAGCUCGCCAUCACCGGCGUCUCACCGCCAUCGCUAUGGAGACCGAACGUUGUCGAUCUUCCUGCCGCAACCUUGGAGCACGCCCCGUCAUUGAGGAAGACAGAGAUGAGGGAGGAGCUGCGAACGCGCCGUGGUGGUUGCCGUCGCCACUGCCUAGGUUCCUGUGGUCCAAGUCGCCAUUGAUGGAGAAGACGCCACUGAGGAGCAGAGCCUCUAUUUCGCGCCAGUCACGACGGAGCUACUACGGAUGUUGCUAUCUUGCUGCCACUGAAGGUCCAUCAGUCGCCAAUCCAUGCCGCUGUUGAAGAUGAAAAUGAGACUACUAUUAUUCCGGUUAAUGCUC